rnacentral:lncRNA from 1 species
AAAUAUUCUCACUUUUCUUUGUUUCAGCCUUCGGGCAGCCUGGUUAAGUCCACAGUAUAGAAAACAAUACCACAAACAUCUUACAUGACUGUGUGAUGAACACAAAACACAGUAUACACAAGCAGCUACCUGAGUAUGUCACGGUUGCAGGACAAAUGAGCUCUGAUGAGCAAAACCAACCAAGUUCAAGGGACAACUCAUUCGUUCGGGUCAUGCCAUCAAAGAAUCAACUCAUCAACUCUCUACUACAUCCAGUGACGGAGCUUCAUUGUGGCCAAGGUGGGCCAUAGCCCCCUACCUCCAAAAUUUGUUGAAGGAAUAGCUAAUUUGACUGCUUAAACACUAUGUAUGCUAAUCUCCUCUGUUAUUGGACCCCUCAUUUUUCUACAAGCUUCCCCACUGACUACAUAAUCAUACUCUGUCCUGCCAUCACCACUGCCUCGCCUCCAACUGGGCCGCCCUGCUCCUCUCCACCACCGGUUGCCAUCUUCUCUGGCAAAUGGUUAGAGCUAACAUAUACAUGCAUUGCCUAUUGUGCAACAUAGAAUUUGAAUACCUGAAAGCAAAUCUUCAUAUCUUUUCCGUAGUAGCAUAGAGAAGAAUAACUUUGUCUAAUAUAGUAUGCACUAUGCUCCAGAAACUAAACACAAAGGCAAUUGACUUCAGCAUCACUUUGUCCUUCAGCUAGCAAACACGUUUCGAAUUUAGUAAGGUCUAACCUAUAACCCGAUAUCUUUCUGCAUAUACAAAGAAUAGUUCAAAAUAAUAGCUUCAAAUACACAAAAUAUACAUAAUAGAAAAAUAUUUUUUUUCAAUUCAUGAGAACCUCAUAC